rnacentral:lncRNA from 1 species
AUACUAACCAAUAUUAUUCACUUUCCGCACCAAAUCUUUAUACAAAUUCUUCUCCUUCCAAUAUUAUUCACUUUACACACCAAAUUUUAUACUACUCAAUUUCAUUUGUGUAAAAAUACAAAUUGUCUUUUCCAUUAAAACCGGAGGGUUGUGGACAAACAUUCAAAGCGGUCAAAAUCUUCGCGAUGAGGUAUAAAAUUUCUAAUUGCCGUUUUAUUAAAUUUAAUGUCAUUUUUUAAAUUAUUUUCUUGCAUUUCCAAUUUAAUUUUUUAAUAGAUUAUUCAAGACAAAACAGAAAAGAGGAAAACCCAUUACACAUGGCUUCUCAAGUGAACAAUGCCCGCAGUCAGUUCUCAUGGUGCGUUCCUUGUCGGAAAUAAUGGUACUAUUACAUUAUCCGAAAGAAAAUACUCCCUCAUGUCUUGAUCUGGUAAACCCGCUUCCGCUAAUAAUUGAGCCGUCCAUAUACUCGAUUGUGUCAGACUAUUCCCCAUGCUUGAUCCUUUUUUGUUUUUCUCAACAAGGGGAAAUAGAAGUUUUUUUAACAGCACCAGGAAAAAAAAAAAAAAAAAAA